UAUACCCAGCCCAAAGGAAAGCUCUUCUUCUUGAUUCUCUUGGAGAGACUGAGGUGUAGAAAAAGAAGUGUUUGGAAACGGCAAGGUAUUUUAAUUCGGCAUAAUCUGAUAUUGGAAGUUAACUGACAGACAGACAGAAAAAAACAAAACAAAACAAAAAAACCUUUUUGCAGCACAAUUAUGAAGAAACUUCCAGUUUCACAUUGGGUGUGUGAAACACUGCCUCACCCACAUCAAAAAGAUGGAACAUCAUGUGGUGUGUUUGCGUUGAAGUUUGCAGAAUACAUCCUUAAAGAGAAGGAAAUUGACUUCUGCAGUGCACCACAAGAAGUAAAACGACUCCGAUUAGAGAUUGCAUCAACACUUCUUGACCAAUCUGAUGAUCUAAGUGACCUGUGUCACUUUUGUGGGGAGGCAGAGACAUUUGAUGAAUCUGAGAAUGUUCUCUGGGUAACAACA